UUAUGUAAUUAAUGUACUUAAGUAUGUCGUGGUACUUUUUUCUCCCAGCAGUGACUGCCAACGCAUAGAGAUGCCAGCUGCCUGUAAAGUUCCUAGAGCUGCUGGGAGAAUGAGUGGACAGUGGCACAAGGCUUUGCUGGCGUAUAAGAAUUGGAUGUUGUGAACAUCAAAAAAAGGCAGACAAAAGAAGAAAGUGUACAGUAUUGACUAGGGGGUUUUGAGAUGAGGUCUUUACAUAGCCCUGGCCUUGAACUCAACCAUCUUGCCUCCCAAGUGCUGGGGAUUUUGUGCCAAUAAGGCCAACUAUGAUACUAAUUUUUAUUAAUGGAUAGAACAUGAGAUCACUGCUUCUUAAAAAGGGUUGUUGAAUUUCUUGUAAUAAGUGAAAAUAUUCAUUCUUUAAUUUUAUUGGAUUUAAGAUGUGGAUGGAAUUAAAGCUGUGUGGAAGUUUGCAGUGAUUCAUGAGAAUCUAGUAGGAUUAUGGCAAUCUGUCUAGUGAACAGAAUUCAGCAAUUUUGUGACUUGUAAAAUUUGUUACAAGCUACAUUUCCUCAUCCAGCAGGGCUUACUGUGAAUGCUGCAAUAAACUGUUCGGUUGCACCAACAGAUAA